rnacentral:lncRNA from 1 species
GAUAAACAUGAAGCAAGUCUAAUUCAAACAAGCAAAAGCUGUGUUCUUAUUAGUGAGUAACCCUAAACUUUGUUGCUCCCUUUUUCUCAUUUUCUUUCUUUCUUUUGUGACGUUCAGUCCAGGGCCUUGUGCACGCCAGGCGAAGGUUCUACCGCUGUGCCAAACCCAGCCCCUGAGAGUGAGAUGCUGUCAUAGCCAUGCUUGACAGUAGAUGUGAAACGGUGCAGGCACAGAGGAAGGUCUCGGGCACAGGGCUGAGAGAGAAUUAGAAUAGAGCGGCGAGGACUUGGUGGGGACUGGAGGCUGCUGUGAGGGGCGUCUUCAUGGAAGCUGAGACCUGAACGCCAAGAAGGAGCCAAGCACAGGAAGACAACAGUGCCAGCGACCAGACUGAGGGCUCUAGCGAGAAGUGAUCGGGAGCGCUUGAGCUACAGGCUUGGUAAAAUAGUUCUCGAGUUUGUUCAAAGUUCAUGGGAACGGCACCACAAUGAUUCGUUCUUGCCAAAAUUGCUUGAAAUUGCUUAAGUGGAGUUGAGUCACACGGAAAUAAUCAGAUAAAUCAAGACCAUGGCACACUCUGUAAGACAAUUGCCCCACAUUCUUCAAAAAAC